rnacentral:rRNA from 1 species
CAGUCGCCACGGUAAUACGUAGGUGGCAAGCGUUGUCCGGAAUUAUUGGGCGUAAAGGGCUCGCAGGCGGUUUCUUAAGUCUGAUGUGAAAGCCCCCGGCUCAACCGGGGAGGGUCAUUGGAAACUGGGAAACUUGAGUGCAGAAGAGGAGAGUGGAAUUCCACGUGUAGCGGUGAAAUGCGUAGAGAUGUGGAGGAACACCAGUGGCGAAGGCGACUCUCUGGUCUGUAACUGACGCUGAGGAGCGAAAGCGUGGGGAGCGAACAGGAUUAGAUACCCCCGUAGUCCCUGUCUCUUAUAC